rnacentral:rRNA from 1 species
UACGAAGGGGGCUAGCGUUGCUCGGAAUCACUGGGCGUAAAGCGCACGUAGGCGGAUUGUUAAGUCGGGGGUGAAAUCCUGGGGCUCAACUCCAGAACUGCCUUCGAUACUGACGAUCUCGAGUCCGGGAGAGGUGAGUGGAACUCCGAGUGUAGAGGUGAAAUUCGUAGAUAUUCGGAAGAACACCAGUGGCGAAGGCGGCUCACUGGCCCGGUACUGACGCUGAGGAGCGAAAGCGUGGGGAGCGAACAGG